rnacentral:lncRNA from 1 species
AGGAAUUCGGCCAUUAUGCUCCCCUCCCUUAAAGGCAUAAGUAGUGCAAGCUGACUCCGAGCACAUCCAGGAAUGCGCUUACUGAUGAGAUAUCGAGGCAAGCUAAAUCAGCAGUUCCUGAGGACGCGCUUGGGGGAUGGCACCCAAAGCCCCUGCAUUAUCUCUUUGUGAUAGUUUGAGCCCCUGCACCUGGAACUGUUUACUUUUCUGUAACUGUUUCUGUAACCAAUUAAUCUUUCUUAAUUGGUUUGCCUGUUCUGCUUCUGUAAAAAUUGCUUCAGCUAAACUCCCUCUCCCCUAUUUAGACCACGAUAUAAAAAGAAAUCUAGCCCCUUCUUCGGGGCCGAGAGAAUUUUGAGCUCUAG